rnacentral:misc_RNA from 1 species
GAAGACUAAAAAAAUAAUCAAUCAAUCAGUGUUUAUUAAUUGCAGACCUAAAAGAAUUUGGAGAAAACAGUGACCAUUGUCCAUCCAGUGGCUUAAGAUGCUUGACGCCUCACUCGUUUGUUUAUUGCUGGCGUGAUGUUGACCGAGGCCUCAAAGUCUACAGGACUUUGCAGAUUUACACGUGCCCAGCAAAUACACAGUGUGUGGCAAAUGGGGACAACCAUGCUUGUGUGUGAAGCAUGCAGUUUUUCCUAAUAAAGUUACACAACUUUGAUGACUUUUUUUUAAAUAACUCCCGGAACAGAGUGGAAAACUGGAAAAAUAUCCCACGUUUCUCCAAUUAUUUCCAGUUGUUUCCGUUGCAGGAUGUUCAAUCAGCGCUGCGACUUUGGUACGAUGAAUGCUGUCGCGUCUUCCAAGAUCGCCUGGUAAACGAUGAAGACCGGGUCUGGUUCGAAACGUUGCUGAAGAACCAAAUCUCCAGCUUCUACCAGUUGGAUCCGGACGAAACUUUGGGCAAACAGCCGAUUCUUUUUGGGGAUUUUCUCGACCCCCAAGUUGAAGGGGCCCUAUAUUCAAAUAAUGGAUUUUGAGCAGCUGGGACAUUCUUUGGACUAUUACCUGCAGGAAUAUAACCAGCAGAGCACAAAACCCAUGAAGCUGAUGCUGUUUCUGGAUGCCAUCUCGCACGUGUGUAGAAUAUCCAGGAUUAUUCGGCAGCCCAUGGGAAAUGCCUUGCUACUAGGAAUGGGGGGCUCCGGCCGGCAAAGUCUGACAAGACUGGCUUCGUUCAUGGCGGAAUUUGCGUGCUUCCAAAUCGAAUUAACCAAAGCCUAUGGCGCGUAUGAUUGGAGAGAGGAUGUAAAGAAACUAAUGCUGAAUGCCGGCCUGCAACGACGAGAAACUGUAUUUUUGUUUUCCGACACGCAGGUCAAAAAUCUCGAGCUGAUUUGGGCUCGGGUAUUUGCACAAAGUGGCUUUCCAGAUUAAAUCCGAGUCGUUUUUGGAAGAUUUAAACAACGUGCUGAACUCGGGCGAUGUUCCCAAUAUUUACCAACCCGACGAGAUGGAUAAAAUAUAUCAGGGGAUGAAAGGAACCGUGCAGAAAUUGGGGCUGCCGGCCACCAAGUCCAUUUUGUUUUCCGUUUACCAGAAACAAGUCAGGUCCAAUUUACAUACAGUGAUCACCAUGAGUCCAAUUGGGGAAAUAUUCAGGGCUCGAUUGCGGCAGCUUCCAGCCUUGGUCAACUGCUGUACCAUCGAUUGGUUCUGUCCGUGGCCCGAUUCAGCUUUACAGUCAGUGGCAUUGCAGUUUCUCAAAGACGUAGAAGACCUAAACGUAUCAGAGACGAUCCUGAAUGGAAUUGUGGUGGUUUUCCAAUUUAUGCACGCCAGUGUGGUGGAGGCGAGUGAGCGCUAUUUGCAGGAACUAUCCAGACACAACUACGUCACUCCUACGUCCUAUUUGGAACUGCUUUCCAGCUAUACAGAGCUAAUAAAUAAGAAGAAAGGCUCCCUCACUGAAGGAGUGGGCCGGCUGAAAACGGGCAAUUUUGUGACGGGAAAAAAUUCGCAAGAUUUCUUAACAGUUCCUUCUAGGCCUGUCCAAACAGCAGAUCACUUCUGAAGAGGUCAAAGUGCUCCAAGAGCAGCUGAAGGAGAUGAAACGUGCCCUACAAGUGGCGUCUAAGGACGCAGAUGAAAUGAUACAAAUUAUCGCCGCUGAUACAAUCGUGGCGGAAGAAACCAAAGAAAUCGUGGAACGAGAAGAGCAAGAAG